GAUGAACGCUGGCGGCGUGCCUAAUACAUGCAAGUCGAGCGAACAGACGAGGAGCUUGCUCCUCUGACGUUAGCGGCGGACGGGUGAGUAACACGUGGAUAACCUACCUAUAAGACUGGGAUAACUUCGGGAAACCGGAGCUAAUACCGGAUAAUAUAUUGAACCGCAUGGUUCAAUAGUGAAAGACGGUUUUGCUGUCACUUAUAGAUGGAUCCGCGCCGCAUUAGCUAGUUGGUAAGGUAACGGCUUACCAAGGCAACGAUGCGUAGCCGACCUGAGAGGGUGAUCGGCCACGCUAGAACUGAGACCUGGUCCAGACGCCCACGGGAGGCCGCAGUCGGGAAUCUUCCGACCUGGGCGAAAGCCUGACGGACCACCGCCCCGCGAGUGGUGAACGUCUUCGGUUCGGAAAACUCUGUUCUUAGGGAAGAACAAAUGUGUAAGUCACUAUGCACGUCUCGACGGUACCUAAUAAGAAAGCCACGGCCUACUACGUG
rnacentral:rRNA from 1 species